AGCUCCAGUAGCGUAUAUUAAAGUUGUUGCGGUUAAAAAGCUCGUAGUUGGAUUUCUGCUUUGGAUGGGUCGUCCUCUUCUUAAGAGUGUAUGUUCUCCAGCCGAGGCAUCUACCUGAGAAACGGAUUUGUGCUUGAUUGCAUGAUUCGUGUCUUGGGUCAUUUACUUUGAGGAAAUUAGAGUGUUUAUAGCAUGCAAUUGCAUUGAAUAUAUUAGCAUGGGAUAAUAAUAUAAGACUGAGUUUUUAUUUUGUUGGUUUCUAAGAAUUCAGUAAUGAUAAAUAGGAAUUGUUGGGGGUACUAGUAUUUACGCGUCAGAGGUGGAAUUCUUGGAUUGCGUAACGACUAACUACUGCGAAAGCAUUUGCCAAGGAUGUUUUCA
rnacentral:rRNA from 1 species